AGACCCGAAACCCGGUGAUCUAGCCAUGGGCAGGUUGAAGGUUGGGUAACACUAACUGGAGGACCGAACCGACUAAUGUUGAAAAAUUAGCGGAUGACCUGUGGCUGGGGGUGAAAGGCCAAUCAAACCGGGAGAUAGCUGGUUCUCCCCGAAAGCUAUUUAGGUAGCGCCUCGUGAAUUCAUCUCCGGGGGUAGAGCACUGUUUCGGCUAGGGGGCCAUCCCGGCUUACCAACCCGAUGCAAACUGCGAAUACCGGAGAAUGUUAUCACGGGAGACACACGGCGGGUGCUAACGUCCGUCGUGAAGAGGGAAACAACCCAGACCGCCAGCUAAGGUCCCAAAGUCAUGGUUAAGUGGGAAACGAUGUGGGAAGGCCCAGACAGCCAGGAUGUUGGCUUAGAAGCAGCCAUCAUUUAAAGAAAGCGUAAUAGCUCACUGGUCGAGUCGGCCUGCGCGGAAGAUGUAACGGGGCUAAACCAUGCACCGAAGCUGCGGCAGCGACGCUGAUGCGUUGUUGGGUAGGGGAGCGUUCUGUAAGCCUGCGAAGGUGGCCUGUGAGGGUUGCUGGAGGUAUCAGAAGUGCGAAUGCUGACAUAAGUAACGAUAAAGCGGGUGAAAAGCCCGCUCGCCGGAAGACCAAGGGUUCCUGUCCAACGUUAAUCGGGGCAGGGUGAGUCGACCCCUAAGGCGAGGCCGAAAGGCGUAGUCGAUGGGAAACGGGUUAAUAUUCCCGUACUUGGUGUUACUGCGAAGGGGGGACGGAGAAGGCUAUGUUGGCCGGGCGACGGUUGUCCCGGUUUAAGCGUGUAGGUGUGUGUUCCAGGUAAAUCCGGUUCACUUUAACACUGAGGCGUGACGACGAGGCACUACGGUGCUGAAGCAACAAAUGCCCUGCUUCCAGGAAAAGCCUCUAAGCAUCAGGUAACAUCAAAUCGUACCCCAAACCGACACAGGUGGUCAGGUAGAGAAUACCAAGGCGCUUGAGAGAACUCGGGUGAAGGAACUAGGCAAAAUGGUGCCGUAACUUCGGGAGAAGGCACGCUGACAC
rnacentral:rRNA from 1 species